rnacentral:rRNA from 1 species
AUAAGAGUCACAUCCCAGCAUUGACUCGGCUAUCUUUCAUGCUUUACUGGCAAUUGGAAAAUUGCUUUCAUGGAAUCGUCAAAGCUGGCAACCCUGUAUGUUCAUGGUCUGUGGAGCCAUUUGCUGGACAAAAAGUUCAUACCAUCUUGCAACGAUUACAACAAAUAUUCUGCUUACCCUGCUCACCCCUUGAUUCAUUACUUCGAGAAACUCACAGAGUUUAUGCUUGUAGAAAGCCAUGUUGGUGGAAAUAAGCUACUUGAAGAAGUGCACAGUUGUUGUUCUGCUGAUUCCAUCUGUGUUAACAAUAAGAUGUUUCUCGGCUACCACGCCAAGAGACACCAUCGCGUUCAAUGAAUCUAUUUCUGAUGGGCAGAACCUUGUUUCUAGUGACAAGAAAUUUGUGCUUGGAUUCUUUAGCCCUGGAGCUUCAAGCCACCGAUAUAUUGGUAUAUGGUAUAACAGUAUUCCAAAUGGAACGGUUGUAUGGGUUGCUAACAGGAAUGAUCCAGUACAUGAUAAGUCCGGUGUACUUAAGUUUGAUGAUGUCGGUAAUCUGAUAGUCCAAAAUGGCACAGGCAGCUCGUCUAUAGUUGCUUUUGGUUCUGGGGUGGGAGUGAGGGACAGGGAGGCUGCAAUACUGUAUACUGGCAACUUGGUGCUAAGGAGCAUGGCCAACCAGUCAAAUAUCAUAUGGGAUAGCUUUACCUAUCCUACUGAUACAUGGCUCCCUGGAACGAAUAUUACACUUAGAAAUUUGCUGAAAUCAUGGAAGAGCUAUGAUGAUCCAGCAACAGGAGAUUACACUUUUGGUUUUGGACCGAGCAUAGUUAAUACAUCAGCAUCACAAUUCAUUAUUAACUGGAAUCGGAAUUCAUUUUGGACAAGUGCAUCCUGGAAUAGUGACACGAAUUCUCUCAUUCCAGAACUGAAAUCUAUGAGUAUCAUCCCUGUUUCAUUUCAGUGUGACAACCUUACAUGCAUGUACACUCCCAACCCUGCUGGCAUAAUGACUAAGAUUGUUUUGGAUCAAAGUGGUUCACUGAACAUAACACAGUUCAAUCCGGAAACCAGAUUGUGGACAUUGUUAUGGAGACAUCCAGAUAGUUGUGAUGUGUCUAAUUUAUGUGGAGUUAAUGGUGUAUGCAACAACAGUAUGUCCGUAUCAGCAUCAGAAUCCAUUUGUCGGUGUCCAGAAGGAUUUGCAGCACAACACCAAUCAAAUUCCAGGAAAGGGUGCACCAGACAAACCCCACUGCAGUGUAAUGGUGAUAGGUUUAUUGAUAUGCUUAAUAUGACAGUUCCUGGCAACAGACAGAAGCUGUCAGUUGUGGAAAAAAGUGAAUGCGAAUUUGCCUGUAUGAAAAGUUGCUCUUGUACGGCAUAUGCUCAUUCGCUCUCCGAUGGUUGCAGCUUAUGGCAUGGCAAUCUAACAAACUUGCAGGAUGGAGUUGAAACUCUUCAUCUUCGUAUAGCUGCAUCAGAAUUACAUGGUCACAAAAUGCUUUGGAUAGCGUAUGUACUUCCGCCAGUUGCAUUCCUUGUCUUUUGUCUCAUCUCUUUUAUUUGGAUUAGGAGAAGGAAAAACAAAGGGAAAAGAAAACAGCCUGAUCACCCCCUCAUCAUGGCUUCAGAUGUGAUGAAGCUUUGGGAGAGCGAAGACACAGGCUCUCACUUUAUGAUGCUUUCCUUUUUACAGAUAGAAAAUGCCACAGACAACUUCUCAACUGAAAACAAGCUUGGGGAGGGAGGGUUUGGCCUGUGUACAAGGUUAAUUGUGUUCUUUAGUUUUGUUCGCUAAUAUGUUUGCUAGAAUUUCAAGACGAAUGGGUGCUAAUUAUAAUAAUUUAUUCUUAAGCAUGUAUAACUUUGUGUUUAGCCAAGUAAUGAUAGUGAAGUUCUUAUCGUAUGAUUGUAAUAAAUAAAAAACAAACUAAUUGAAAGGAGAAAACGGAGCAUAUCUUUGUCCA